UGGAAGCAGAUGUGACAGUCAGUUCAGUUCAGUUCAGUUCAGUGUAUCAGCUGCAGAGAAACAAUGUUGCAGUUACACUUCACGAAUGAUACAUUACCCGAUAAUGUCAGCACUGACUUUCUGAAUCUGAAUAAAAUCAGUGAACAGUCAGAGCGGUUCUUGCGUCAGCUUACGGAGUGCAGAACCACUGAGGGCUCUGAUGAAGAGUGUCCUCCUCCUACCUCAUGGUGCUUUAAAAAGAAACCUAACAGCUGAACAGGUGAAGGCAGACUUGCUGUCAUUAGACUGGCCGUGGGUAAGACACUAAUGGUCAACCAGCUUGUUGACAUGGAGUGGAAAUUUGGUGUUACUGUUGGUUCAAGUGAGCUGCAAAAGACUGGAAACAUCUUUCUACAGGGUGCAGACCACAGACAUCACUGUGUCGUGUAGAUUGGGCUGUGGUGCACAGGGGGAUUUCCUGCAGUAUUUCACCCCAGGCGCUGCAGCCCUAAUCUGGGCAGGACAGACGGCCUGCGCAGGCUGCGUUGAAGGAAGAAGGGCCUCAACUUGUAUGCCUUGAGAAAAUGUGAUCUGCAUCCUGAAUAUUAACACGGGCAGUAAAGAUAUGCAGCUACCACUCACCUUAGUUCCAGCCUCUCUCAUCGCCCUGGCAACCAAGCCAUCCCAUUGCUUCCCCUCCACUAGCACCGGGCUGUCCCAAGGCUGACCCCUCCCCCCUCCCCACAGCCUCAUGCAGUAGUCGGGGGGGUAGGGCACAAAAAUACUGCAUAGUUUCUGGAGCAUUUUCUUUUGUUACCAUCUCUUCUGAGAGAAUAAUUUUCCUCAGAAUGAGAAUUCAUUCACUCAAUGUCAAUGUGUAUACUGUUGAAAACUAAGAAAUUAGGUAAAACCACAAACAUUUAGCCAUUAGAAGAUUUUGCUCCUUCACAUGGAGCUACUAUUCUGCAAAAAAAAAAAAAAAAAAAUCACCAAUAAUUUGUGCCAAGAG